rnacentral:rRNA from 1 species
AACGAACGCUGGCGGCAGGCCUAACACAUGCAAGUCGAACGCCCCUUCGGGGGAGUGGCAGACGGGCGAGUAACGCGUGGGAACCUUCCCUGUGGUACGGAAUAACUCAGAGAAAUUUGAGCUAAUACCGUAUACGCCCUUCGGGGGAAAGAUUUAUCGCCAUAGGAUGGGCCCGCGUCGGAUUAGCUUGUUGGUGAGGUAAUGGCUCACCAAGGCGACGAUCCGUAGCUGGUCUUAGAGGAUGAUCAGCCACACUGGGACUGAGACACGGCCCAGACUCCUACGGGAGGCAGCAGUGGGGAAUAUUGGACAAUGGGCGCAAGCCUGAUCCAGCCAUGCCGCGUGAGUGACGAAGGCCUUAGGGUUGUAAAGCUCUUUUGGCGGGGACGAUAAUGACGGUACCCGCAGAAUAAGCCCCGGCUAACUUCGUG